rnacentral:rRNA from 1 species
UACGGGGGGAGCAAGCGUUGUUCGGAUUUACUGGGCGUAAAGGGCGCGUAGGCGGUCAGCACAAGUCAGUUGUGAAAUCUCCGGGCUUAACUCGGAAAGGUCUACUGAUACUGUGCGACUAGAGUGCGGAAGGGGCAACUGGAAUUCUCGGUGUAGCGGUGAAAUGCGUAGAUAUCGAGAGGAACACCUGCGGCGAAGGCGGGUUGCUGGGCCGACACUGACGCUGAUGCGCGAAAGCCAGGGGAGCGAACGGG